AUCCGCGCGGGCCGCUGGAGCGGCGUCCCCUUGCCGGGGACAGAGAAGCCGCAGAUAUGUCCGUUCAAUAGGAUACGGAUACC
rnacentral:tRNA from 1 species